GAUGAACGCUAGCUACAGGCUUAACACAUGCAAGUCGAGGUGUAACAAGAGAAAAGCUUGCUUUUCUUGUUGACGACCGGCGCACGGGUGAGUAUCGCGUAUCCAACCUGCCUAUAACUAGGGAAUAACCUUGCGAAAGUAAGACUAAUACCCUAUGAUUUCCUUUGAUGACAUCAGAUUAGGAAUAAAGAUUUAUCGGUUAUAGAUGGGGAUGCGUCUGAUUAGCUUGUUGGCGGGGUAACGGCCCACCAAGGCAACGAUCAGUAGGGGUUCUGAGAGGAAGGUCCCCCACAUUGGAACGGAGACACGGUCCAAACUCCUACGGGAGGCAGCAGUGAGGAAUAUUGGUCAAUGGGCGGAAGCCUGAACCAGCCAAGUAGCGUGCAGGAUGACGGCCCUAUGGGUUGUAAACUGCUUUUAUACAGGAAUAAAGUUAGCCACGUGUGGUUAUUUGUAGGUACUGUAUGAAUAAGGACCGGCUAAUUCCGUGCCAGCAGCCGCGGUAA
rnacentral:rRNA from 1 species